GAGUGCUCUGUGCUGGAAGAAGAGGAGUCGAGGCUGCUGGAGACAUCAGGGCUCAGUGGCUCCGUGGCAGUGAUGCGCUGCAUCAGCUCUUGCGUUUGGCAGCUGUUUGCAGUGGCUUUGGUCCCCUCUCUUGUGACACCGGGCAGGUCCUGCUUGUGCUGGGGGACCUCCAGAGCCGCUUCUGAAAAAGCAAGAACAUCCCCCCGAACGAUGAUGGCAGCCUUCCCACAGCCACUCGGUGCAGGCAGCCACCUCUGGGGGUCACCUCUGCGGAGCACAGUCUCACCGUCAAUCCAGUUCCAAGCAGGUGGGCUCUCAGUGUCUUGCAAGUGCCAUCUAGCAGCAGCAGGUCCAGCCAGGAGGCACAGCACCCUGCAACCUCCAGGGGCCUUUGUGCAGCAGCAGAUGUUGAUGCCCUAGAAGCACGGUGCGGAGCACAUCCUGGGAUCAAGGUGCCACGGACUGGAAAAUGCUGCUGUGGCGGAGUUCCUGUGUGAAGACAAAACUCCCAGUCCCCCAGAAAUGUGGAGGCAGAAGAGCAGUGACAAGGCAUUGUGAUCAACUUAAAAAAGGAACGCAUGAAGAAUAGCUUUGUUUGCAUUCUGGUGAGUAUUUCUCUUGCAGACCUUUGAAUCAAUGAUUCCCCUGCUAUUUGUCUCUUCUGGUUGCUGGAGAGAAGAGCUCCAAUGUCACAUCCUGAUCCGUAAGGUGAUCGAGCUUGGUGAUUGUCAGUAAUUCAGGAUAUGCUUGCUUUUCUUGAAGUGAACUAAGGGAUAAGCUAUCAUGCUGUGCCAUUUCUUUUCCUGUGCGUAAUGCCAAGGGAUAGGGCUGCAGGUGCCUGCUGGUUCACGGGACAUGCCAGAGCUUUGUACACAGCUUAAGUGAUGGAACGGGAAAGACUCCAGUAUGGUAACAACGUGAUUUCUAGUGUUUUGGUACGUAUAUUCAAGUCAGUAUGGGUCCAUUUCAGACAGCAUCGUCACACAUCUGUUUGUUGUGUCAUAUCAAACGCAUUUUUACUAAUUUGACUACAUACAUACUCCACCCAUAGUUUGCAUCUUGUCUUCUUAGGGUGAGGUUUGCCUGCUGAACAGCAAGACAAAAGGAGCUUAAAUUACAGAAGCAGAGAAGCAAAGACAGCUUAGCGGCUCAAUACAGUACGGAUCAGUUAGAGCAUUACUUGGAAGUUGUUGUGUUCUGGGUGUUAGGUGGGAUGAGACACGGGUG
rnacentral:lncRNA from 1 species